CUAGCAUAUCAAUAUCGGGAGGAAAAGAAACCAACAGGGAUUACCUCAGUAACGGCGAGUGAAGCGGUAACAGCUCAAAUUUGAAAUCUGGCCUCACGGUCCGAGUUGUAAUUUGUAGAGGAUGCUUCGAGCAUGGUCUGGCCUAAGUUCCUUGGAACAGGACGUCAUAGAGGGUGAGAAUCCCGUAUGCGGCCAGGUGCCUACGCUCAUGUGAAGCUCCUUCGACGAGUCGAGUUGUUUGGGAAUGCAGCUCAAAAUGGGUGGUAAAUUUCAUCUAAAGCUAAAUAUUGGCCAGAGACCGAUAGCGCACAAGUAGAGUGAUCGAAAGAUGAAAAGCACUUUGGAAAGAGAGUUAAACAGUACGUGAAAUUGUUGAAAGGGAAGCGCUUGCAACCAGACUUGCGCGCGGCCGAUCAUCCGGUGUUCUCACCGGUGCACUCGGCCGUGCUCAGGCCAGCAUCGGUUUUGGCGGCUGGAUAAAGGCCCUAGGAAUGUAGCUCCUCUCGGGGAGUGUUAUAGCCUAGGGUGCAAUGCAGCCUGCUGGGACCGAGGACCGCGCUUCGGCUAGGAUGCUGGCGUAAUGGUUGUAAGCGGCCCGUCUUGAAACACGGACCAAGGAGUCUAACAUCUAUGCGAGUGUUUGGGUGUCAAACCCAUACGCGUAAUGAAAGUGAACGGAGGUGAGAACCCUUAAGGGUGCAUCAUCGACCGGUCCUGAAGUUUACGGAAGGAUCUGAGUAAGAGCAUAGCUGUUGGGACCCGAAAGAUGGUGAACUAUGCCUGAAUAGGGUGAAGCCAGAGGAAACUCUGGUGGAGGCUCGCAGCGGUUCUGACGUGCAAAUCGAUCGUCAAAUUUGGGUAUAGGGGGCGAAGACUAAUCGAACCAUCUGCC
rnacentral:rRNA from 1 species